UCGGAUCAGGUAGGAAUACCCGCUGAACUUAAGCAUAUCAAUAAGCGGAGGAAAAGAAACCAACAGGGAUUGCCCUAGUAACGGCGAGUGAAGCGGCAACAGCUCAAAUUUGAAAUCUGGCUUCGGCCCGAGUUGUAAUUUGCAGAGGAUGCUUUUGGCGCGGUGCCUUCUGAGUUCCCUGGAACGGGACGCCACAGAGGGUGAGAGCCCCGUAUAGUAGGACACCAAGCCUGUGUAAAGCUCCUUCGACGAGUCGAGUAGUUUGGGAAUGCUGCUCUAAAUGGGAGGUAAAUCUCUUCUAAAGCUAAAUACCGGCCAGAGACCGAUAGCGCACAAGUAGAGUGAUCGAAAGAUGAAAAGCACCUUGAAAAGGGGGUUAAACAGUACGUGAAAUUGUUGAAAGGGAAGCGCUUGUGACCAGACUUGCGCCAGGCGGCUCAUCCGGCGUUCUCGCCGGUGCACUCCGCCUGGCUCAGGCCAGCAUCGGUUUUCGCGGGGGGAUAAGAGCGGCGGGAAUGUGGCUCCCCACGGGGAGUGUUAUAGCCCGCCGCACGAUACCCUCGCGGGGACCGAGGUUCGCGCUCCGCAAGGAUGCUGGCGUAAUGGUCAUCAGCGACCCGUCUUGAAACACGGACCAAGGAGUCGUCCAUUAGAGCGAGCGUUUGGGUGUAAAACCCGCACGCGUAAUGAAAGUGAACGCAGGUGAGAGCUUCGGCGCAUCAUCGACCGAUCCUGAUGUUCUCGGAUGGAUUUGAGUAAGAGUUCUAACGGACGGACCCGAAAGACAGUGAACUAUGCUUGUAUAGGGUGAAGCCAGAGGAAACUCUGGUGGAGGCUCGCAGCGGUUCUGACGUGCAAAUCGAUCGUCAAAUAUGAGCAUGGGGGCGAAAGACUAAUCGAACUGUCUAGUAGCUGGUUACCGCC
rnacentral:rRNA from 1 species